GGGCCGCACCCGAGGAGGCGGGGACUGCGCGGGGCCGUGCGCGGCGGGUCCGCCGUGCCCCGGGAGGAAAGGCAGAACUGCUGCAUCUCCCUUGCUGUUUCGAAAUGCAUUGUUGGACCACAUGGAAGUAGUUUAAUUGUGGGAUGCUUAUUCCAUCCAGUUCCAUGCUGGUUAUGGCUGUAUUCCUUCUCAUCAGAUACCUUCCAGCAAAAGUUGUUGCUCUGUCAGCACACCAGUGCAAAGAGAGAGGAACUGAAAUCCCAGAGCCUCUUGACAAGCUGCUUUAUGUAAUGAUUUAUCUAUGGUUUUGUUCUGCUGGUAGCGUUCAUGGUGAAACAGUUGAUGCCUUCAUGACUUCCCCAGACUUAGGAAAGAACUAUAUGGUCAUAUACUGAUAAUAAAAAGUGGGAAAAAAAAUCCUGGAAAACAGAAGUUUUAAUUUUCUGUUGUGUGAUUUGUACAAAUGAACGAAAUAAAUGAAACUGGCUAAGAAAAAGAAAAGCUGUUCUUGUUGCCAGGUAGUUGUAUGAAGUAUUGAUUAGAGAAAUUACUGAAAGGCUAGGAACAUGCGGAGUAGCCAAAUAGGGCAGACUCAUUAAAAUGGUUUCAGCACUGGUAGAACUUACGCAUAUGAUACUAGCUGUGGUGUUUUAUAGUUUGAUAAUUGUAUUAGCCUCGUUCCUAUUUCUGCAUAGGCUUUACAAAAGUCAGAUGACUGGGACAUGUCUCUGAAAAUAUGCCAGGCUACUCUUGUAAGAUAUGAUUGAACAAUAUGUUUGAUGCUUGACACUACUGGGUCAGCAUAGCAUUAAUAUGAUAAAACUGAAGGAACUAUUAGUGACUCAAAUUCAAAUUUUUCACUUAUCAGUCUCAUCCAAGUACAUUCCUCUGAAACAUUUUAAGUCUGACAUGACUAAAUUUACUAGAUGUGGUUUAACUGACUUGGUAACAUUUUCUCUUGAAAGGUGUUUGAUGUAGCUAAUAGAGCUGUCUUGGAAAAAUAACAAAUCUCUGGAUGAGAAAUAUUUCAGCUUAAUAGAGCAUACAGUGACUGUAAAGAACGUGCUUUUAAUUUAGCAAGUUCACAAAUCAAGUUACUUUUACAAGGGAAAUUAGGUUUGUUACUUUCAUCAAUGUUAUUGCUGUACACUGUUCUGCUGUAGCCCUCAAUUUAACUUUCCUGAUUAUGAAAGUA